ACGGAUAUGAUGAAACUGGAAAACAUAUCAGAUUUAGGAUCUGAUGGGUAUCAACCCUUGUGGGUUCAACUCCCACUGUCCGUA
rnacentral:tRNA from 1 species